rnacentral:lncRNA from 1 species
UUUCCUCAUAGCCAAGAGAUGGGCACGUGACCUAGGCUGGAGCACUCAGACUGUCUCCUGAGACAGGAUCUUGCAUCAUCAGAAAUGAACACUUGGAUGACACUUGUCUCCUCAGCAACUCUCAGACAAAAUAGUUGGCCAGUUUCUGUUGGUUCCAGUUCUAUUUCAAGACUGGCUCUCCAGCCUGUCUCCUCUGUGAGCUACCUGAUAACCUUUCAACAAGUUAUCCUUUUGUUUGAUUAGCUGAAGUUGGUUUCUGUUGCUUGCAACCAAGGAACCAUGAUAAAUUAUCAUCUGGUUCAUAAUUUCCAUUUCAUGAACCUCAGAUGGUGAGCAAUACUACAAAGACUUGGAUAGCAGCUGCUAAAAGAGGAGGUGGCUGGAAGCAUCUGAAAUGUAGUCCAGAAUAGUCCUGGGAGGCUAAACAGGAAAAUUGCUCUUGGCUGAGAAGAGCUGCCCUGCUGGGAAGUUAUGGAAAUUAUGAGCCCAUUUCCCCCAGGAAGAGUGGGGGCAGCUCCAGCCAAUGACUGGCUGAUAUCGGGGUACAAAAGCUGGCCCCUUGUCUCCAGGUAGUGGCAAAUAGCAAGAAAAGAAAUUGGGAUAAAAGGAAACAGAGUGAUUGGAGGAGUUCUUAAUUUUAGAUCGAAUGAGAAGGAGCCUCUCUAGAGAAGUAACAUUUGAAAAGUGACCUGACAAAAGUGAGGAAGGGAAGGAGCACGGACAUUACAGGCACUGAGGUGAGUGCCAAGA